AACUGCUUGGCAUCAGACUAGGGUGACUUGUGGAAGUUGGUUGACUGGCAGCUCGGAAGUUUCAGAGCUUCAGUCCAUUAUCAUCAUGGUGGAAAGCAUGGCAGCAUCCAGGCAGGCAUGGCACUGGAGAAGUGGAGAGUCCUACAUCCUGAUAUGAAGGCAGCCAGGAGAAGACUAAUGGUCUGAAAGCCCACCCACCCCUGCAGUGACACACUUCCUCCAACUAGGCCAUGCCUCCUAAGAGUGUCACUCCCUAUGGGCCAAGCAUAUUCAAGCUACCAUAACUAGGGUGUGGGGUGGGUGUGGGUGUGGGAUGUUCUGAAUGGCUCGUGGGAUGUCCUUCCCACUGAUGGGAUCAUGUGAGUGUGUGUUGUGUCUGGCCAGUAGAUCACAACCUGGGUUCUAGCCUGGAAAGGCAUUUUGGAAACCUGGAAGAGAAGAGGGGCUGGGCUGCGCGNNNNNNNNNNNNNNNNNNNNNNNNNNNNNNNNNNNNNNNNNNNNNNNNNNNNNNNNCGUGAUGGCUUCGGAACAGCAAAGCUGCAGGUUCCAGCAGUGGGCGUGGCAGAACGAUUGAGCUGGCAAGCUCCACCCCUGAGCAAGCAGGUUUCAGACUGGGGGAGGGGAGACUACAAGUGUGGGCACUGGGCAGACUCACUUAUCAGAAACAUCAAGGACAGACUGCAAUUGGUAAGGUGCAUCAGGGUGACAGAAGGACAGUGUGCAACUUUGGACUACAAGGAUUUGGGUUACAGUGUUUCAAAGUCUUACAUUGAGACUCUUGAUGCAUUUGCAGCUUCCUGGUGUGUGGGGUGAGAAGAUGGGGAUCUAGUUUAACGUUCUACAUGUAGACACACUCUGUCUGUUGAAGAUGCUAUUAUCGUCCUACAAAAUCUCUCCUCCCCUGCCUUUGAUGAAGUUGCUACCACAUGGGGUAUGCCCAUCUGCAGGACAUGGAGGAAGGACCCCAGCCAGUAAUCAGCAAGCGUGUGACCGACAGCCUUGACUAAAAUCCCGCCAGAAUUCCAUGAGACAACCUGGAAGUGGGCUGUUCCCCAAUCAAGCCUUUCAAUACAGGCUUGUCAAAGACCCCCAAAGCAGAGAAUGCAGGGUUCAGAGACCGAGACAAUAAGUUAGGUUCUUAACCAAUAAAUUUAAGGUACCC
ensembl:lincRNA 4930528D03Rik RIKEN cDNA 4930528D03 gene